AUGCAUUGCGUACCUGCGAGCCUCGGCGCUGCAAGGUAUGUACCUGGGAGCCCGAGCUCGUGCGUCCGAGCACCCCCAACCCCGCCGCCAGCUCAUCUCACCGGAGAAGCAACACCAGCGGCGCCGCCCCGGUGCCUUCCCUCUCUCCUGCAUGGCUUGCCGCCUCCUGUUCCUUCGUCAGGGAAGGACGCGUUCGCGCCUGGAUGCCCAGACACCAGCUCAUCUCGCCAGAGGGAGCACCAGCGCCGCCGCCCUCUGUGCCUUCCUUUUCUCUCCCACCCCCCGCAUGGCCCGCCGCCUCGUGUUAUCCGGCAGGAAUGA
rnacentral:rRNA from 1 species